GACGAACGCUGGCGGCGCGCUUAACACAUGCAAGUCGAACGGAAAGGCCUGCUUUCCCUUGUGGAUUGCGGGUACUCGAGUGGCGAACGGGUGAGUAACACGUGAGUGAUCUGCCCCCAACUUGGGUAUAAGCCUGGGAAACUGGGUCUAAUUCCCGAUAGGACUGCAGGGUGGUGCCUGUGGUGGAAAACGAUUUUCUAGUGGUUGGGGAUGAGCUCGCGGCCUAUCAGCUUGCUGGUGGGGUAAUGGCCUACCAAGGCGGCGACGGGUAGCCGGCCUGAGAGGGUGGACGGCCACAUUGGGACUGAGAUACGGCCCAGACUCCUACGGGAGGCAGCAGUGGGGAAUAUUGCACAAUGGGCGGAAGCCUGAUGCAGCGACGCCGCGUGGGGGAUGACGGCCUUCGGGUUGUAAACUCCUUUCGACCGCGAGGAAGCCACCUGGUUGGAAGGGUGGUGACGGUAGUGGUAGAAGAAGCACCGGCUAACUACGUG
rnacentral:rRNA from 1 species